rnacentral:rRNA from 1 species
ACGGGUAGCCGGCCUGAGAGGGUGACCGGCCACACUGGGACUGAGACACGGCCCAGACUCCUACGGGAGGCAGCAGUGGGGAAUAUUGCACAAUGGGCGAAAGCCUGAUGCAGCGACGCCGCGUGAGGGAUGACGGCCUUCGGGUUGUAAACCUCUUUCAGCAGGGAAGAAGCCACAAGUGACGGUACCUGCAGAAGAAGCGCCGGCUAACUACGUGCCAGCAGCCGCGGUAAUACGUAGGGCGCAAGCGUUGUCCGGAAUUAUUGGGCGUAAAGAGCUCGUAGGCGGUUUGUCGCGUCUGCUGUGAAAGCCCGGGGCUUAACCCCGGGUGUGCAGUGGGUACGGGCAGACUAGAGUGCAGUAGGGGAGACUGGAAUUCCUGGUGUAGCGGUGGAAUGCGCAGAUAUCAGGAGGAACACCGAUGGCGAAGGCAGGUCUCUGGGCUGUUACUGACGCUGAGGAGCGAAAGCAUGGGGAGCGA